AUGGAUGUCCUGAGUGCCCUACUCCCACAGCAAAGGCGUUGAUUAACAAUGCUGUGUAAAAAUAAAUGAGGUCAAGGAGACAAUGCAUAGUUGACGUACAAAGAUUAUCACUAAUAGGGCGGGAGGAAGGCGUUGCUGUUCCUGUGUAAAUAAUGGGGCUCUGAGAGAAAAGGUUACCUUGCAAUAAAUAGCAUUUAAAGGAACACUACAG